GACUUUGGUUUGGAGUGGAUGCCGGUAAUGACCGUGAGCACUGGAGACUCUAUGCUGUGGAACAAAUGGCCGGCAGUAAGCUUCCUGUAGGUGAGGAUCUCCAUGUCCAGGGCCAGCUUGGUGUUCAUUAGCUGCUGAUGCUCCUUGACCAGGUCAGCAAUCUCCCGCCGGCUGUUGAAGAGAUGAUUCCCAUAUGUGGUGGAGCGUGGGACCCCUUCAUUCAGCUGCAGGGAAGAGACUGGCAUGAAUUGCACCCCAGCGACAGCCCCAGCAAAAGCAGCUCCCAGGACAGCAGGUGAGCUUGUCCUUGGGACCGGGGUGGUUACUGAAAGACGCAUCUUUGUGAGGACAAGACCAAGCCUGACGGCAGCAGGGUUCAGAGGUGGGGAAGGGGGUCUCUUGUGGCCAUGUCAGGAUGGCAAACACAGUGUGUGGCAGUGGAGUGACAUGGUGC